AUUGAACGCUGGCGGAAUGCUUUACACAUGCAAGUCGAGCGGCAGCGCGGGGGCAACCCUGGCGGCGAGCGGCGAACGGGUGAGUAACAUAUCGGAACGUACCCAGUGGUGGGGGAUAACACAUCGAAAGAUGUGCUAAUACCGCAUACGACCUGAGGGUGAAAGGGGGGAUCGCAAGACCUCUCGCCGUUGGAGCGGCCGAUAUCGGAUUAGCUAGUUGGUGAGGUAAAGGCUCACCAAGGCGACGAUCCGUAGCUGGUCUGAGAGGAUGAUCAGCCACACUGGAACUGAGACACGGUCCAGACUCCUACGGGUGGCUG
rnacentral:rRNA from 1 species